AGUAUACCACUGGAGGCUCUGUCAUCUUCCUGCUGAUUUGUAUGCCUGGUAGUUUUUCACUGGAUGCUCUACAUGGUGUUGAGCCACAGAGCACUCCCUAUUCUAAUCUCAGAGUCUGCUUCCUGAAGAACCCAUCCUGCCACACUUGGAUUGAAUUACAGUCAUGAGAAAGCCUGAACUUGGGAAGGAGCCAGGGUCUGGUGGCUUCAGUCGUGGUGGGGGAGCAGCUGAAGAGAGAUGGGUCAUGAGGUGGGGCAUAGACCCUGGACCUGGAGGCCUGGAUUCCCGCCUCUCCACAGCAGCUCACCUGCCCAAUUAUGAUUUUGCCUGCAACCCUCCAAGCAGAGCUGGGAGAGGCUGUGUGAUUAUUGCUGUUCCAAUCACUGCUUAAAAUCAAUGUUAUGUGUCCCAGAAGAUCAAUCUCCCCCAUUUCUUAGAGCCAUUCCCCUAAAUCUUCACCCCUCUUCUCGGGCUCUGCUCACUCUCACCUCCCUCACUCUCAGCAGAUGAUCUUGCCUCGUACUGUCCUUUACAGAAAAAACGAAAAUGAAGCCAUUGGGAAGCUUUCAUCAGUUUCACAUCUCAUAUCCUUGUUACCCUAUCCUCACCUCCUCCCAUCCAGCCCAAGAAAGGGUGGUCUCCCCAGGCUCUGGGCCCUGCCCCUUUCUGCUUCCUUAGAGAUCUCUGCAUGUCAAUUAUCAUACCCCUUCUCCCUCAUGGGACUUACCUGUUUCCUCUCUCCUGCUACCUUCCCAUGGGUACAUAAAUAUGUUUAGGUCUCUCAUCUGGAAAAAAGCACCAACCACAGAUAGAAGAAAAUAUUUGCAAAUUAUAUGUUUAACAAAGGACUUGUAUCCAAAAAUAUACAAAGAAGUCUUAAAACUCAACAAGAAAACAAACAACCUUAUUAAAAAAUGGGCCAAAGACCUUAACAAAUACCUCACCAAGGAAGACAUUUAGGUGGCAAGUAAGCGUAUGAAAAUAUGUUCCACAUCAAGUGUCACUGGAGAAUACAAAUUAAAACAAUAAGACAUGACUACACACCUAUCGAAAUGGCCAAAAUCCAGAACACUAACAACACUAAAAGCUGGUAAGGAUGCAGAGGCACAGGAACUCUCAUUCAUUGAUGGUGGGAAUGCAAAAUGGUACAGCCUCUUUAAAAGACUGUUUUUGGCAGUUUCUUACAAAACUAAACAUACCUUUACCAUAGAAUCCAACUUCCUUUGUUAAAUACCGAGGAGCAAUCAUGCUUCUUGGUAUUUAACAAAGGAAGUUGAAAAGUUACACCCCAACAAAAAACUCUGCACGUGAAUAUUUAUAGCAACUUCAUUCACAAUUGCCAAGGACAUCCUCUUGUCCUUCAGUAGGUGAACAGAUAAAUAAACUGUGGUACAUCCAGACCACAGAAUAUUAUUCAGUGCUAAAAAGGAAUGAGCUAGCAAACCAUGGAAGGACUUGAGGAGACUUUAAAUGCCUAUCACUAAGUGAAAGAAGUUAAUCAGAAAAGCCUAGAUACUGUAUGAUUCUAGCUAUGUGCCAUUCUGGAAAAGGCGAAACUAUGAAAACAGUAAAAAGGUCAGUGGUUUUCAGGAGUUGAGGGGAAGAGAUGAAUGAAUAAGUAGAACACAGGAUGUUUAGGGCAGUGAAACUACCCUAUAUGAUACUGUAAUGGUGGGAACAUGUCAUUAUGUAUUUGUCAAAACCCAUAAUUUGUAUAACACUGAGAAUGAACCUUCAUGUAAACUACAGAUUUUGGGUGAUGAUGAUGUGUCAAGGUAGGUUCAUUGAUGGUAACAAAUGUACCCCAUAAAUUGAUUAUGGGGGAGGCUGUACCUGUGUGGGACCAGGGGGUAUAUGGGAAAUCUCUGUAUCUUCUGCUCAAUUUUGCUGUGAACUAAAACUGCUCUAAAAAAUAAAAUCUAUUUUUU
rnacentral:lncRNA from 10 species